GAUGAACGCUGGCGGCGUGCCUAAUACAUGCAAGUCGAGCGAACAGACGAGGAGCUUGCUCCUCUGACGUUAGCGGCGGACGGGUGAGUAACACGUGGAUAACCUACCUAUAAGACUGGGAUAACUUCGGGAAACCGGAGCAAAUACCGGAUAAUAUAUUGAACCGCAUGGUUCAAUAGUGAAAGACGGCUUUGGUGUAUCUUCUAGCUGGAUACGCGCCGCAGUAGCUAGUUGGUAAGGUAACGGCUUACCAAGGCAACGAUGCGUAGCCGACCUGAGGGGGUGAUCGGCCACACUGGAACUGAGACACGGUCCAGACUCCUACGGGAGGCAGCAGUAGGGAAUCUUCCGCAAUGGGCGGAAGCUUGACGGAGCAACGCCGCGUGAGUGAUGAAGGUCUUCGGAUCGUAAAACUCUGUUAUUAGGGAAGAACAAAUGUGUAAGUAACUAUGCACGUCUUGACGGUACCUAAUCAGAAAGCCACGGCUAACUACGUG
rnacentral:rRNA from 1 species